CUUCCUAAAUUAGUAGAUUCCGUUAUUUGGCUUGGCAAACCUUGGAUUGUAUGUGAUUUGAGGGUUCUCUAUCACUUGCAACAGGUUCUUUUGCAGCAAUGGCGUGGUCUCCUUCUCUUUGCCCCAUUAGAAAUGCAUAUUCAAGCCUCAAAAUAUUGCAAUUGAUCCUUCUAGACGUGUAUGAUGAAACCAUUCUUCUUUCUUGUGAACUCAGCUCAUAGAAAGGAGAUAACUUAGUAUUUAUUUAGUCAAAUUUUCUGGUAAACCGCUGAUUUCUUGCUGGAUGAAAUUAACAGUGCUUAGAAAUUUCUUUGUUUCUGGCUUCGGAAGAGUCACGUUCUUGUUAUUGAUUUCUAUGUCGAGUAUUUGUGACUCAUUUAUUUGAAAAAUAAUGGUCACAAAAUAUUAAUUUCACAGGUUCUUGAUAGUGGAAGUUGUUGAUCAAGAUAUGGAGAAAAGUACAUUGCCUCGACAGUAAGAGGCAAGAGUGAAUUGAUGACUGAAAUGAAUUCUCCAUCCACCGUCUUCUCUCCUAAAUCAGAGUUUCCAUCACUGGAUCCUUUCAGAGAUUAUUCAUGUUGUGGCUAUCUUGCAAAGGCUAUUCGCUUCGUCUAAUGUUUCUGGUCUAAGCUCCAGUUGUCGUGAUAUCUCAAUUCUCAACCCCAGGUUUUUCCUUACAAGGAUGAAAAAUCAGUUUGCUUGAGGGCAACUUCAAUCUGGAUUUAUAUCAUCCGCUCAUUUUUUAUUUUUUUUUAUGGAAGUGAGCUUCUUUAACAUAUGGGAUUCGAUAAAUGUAUCUUGAUGAUACGCGAUGAAGGAUUAUGGGAGAAGUGGACUAUGCACCCAAGGUGCUUGAUGAUAUGUCUGCAAAAGGUGAAUCUGAACUUAUAUAUUCUGUUAGGCUUUUAGUCUUGACUCUCUACUGGUUUUGCGAUGACAUUAUUAACUUGUGAAGUAAUCCAUGUUGGACAGAAGAACCCAUAAAGAUAUGCAUGUUCAUUAUCACUUUGAAUCAAGAAAUUAGAAGGUUGUCAACAUAGUUACCUUAAGUCUCAUGGAUGAAGAAAAUAUUAUUGCAUUUGGUUUAGGUACUCGCAUUCAUUAAUAUUCCGCGUUCAUACAUACAUUAAAAUGAUGUUACUAUAGUUGGAAAGCUAUUAAGGAAAAUGUAAACUUUGGUUUAAUACAAAAAGCUAUCUACAUGAUAAACAUACACAGUUGACGAUUUUCUCUUUUCAUGCCAUGAUAUAUCUAUAUUUUAAUAGUCAAAAUUUUACAAAUUAAAACUGGUGGCGUAUGAUAGUUCGAUGGCUACAUGCACAUCUCAUGACAGGAAAGAAGAUUAAUAUAUACUAUGUCGUAAAUUAAAUGAUGAGAUCCUUGUGAAUGUUAAAUAGUUAUAGUUUUGUGUAUCAACAUUUGAUUGAAUUUAGGAAUACAAGGGUGGAUAACUCAUUGUAGGAAUUGGUGUUUUCGGUACCUAACGCUGCAAUUUCUC